rnacentral:lncRNA from 1 species
AGUCAUCAGUAAGACGAAGUGUAGAAGCACUAUAGAUCCUCCUAAUUUGGGAAGAGUUUAAAAAAAAGACGGAACCUUACCAAAUCUUUAGUACUAAAGUUCAUCCAAAACAGAACCUUCAUUAACACAUUAUUGAAAACUGAAAAUAUCAAAAUUAACGUGGCCAACGUAGUUUCGUUCCUCUCACAUUAACAUAAUUAAACGGGUAAAUCCAUGAAGCACUCUAAAGCUAGCCAAAGUACAAAUUUAUUUAGAAGUAGAAGAGAGGGACCUUUACAGCUGUUUGACUGUUUCCUGCAAAAUCCGAACGAGAAUGAAUCUCUGAUCGGAACCGGAACAGGAACCGCUAAACGAAGACCUUACCGGCAAGAUCGAACUGCGACCUUAAACCCGGCUAGUUUUGUAGCAGUUGACAGAGUAUGAAGGAGCUGCUCGUUUUGGGAGUUUGGUUUGUGAAGAAUGUGGCUUUUGGGGUGGUUUUGGCCGAAACAGUGAAAGUUUGGACGGCUGGUGCUGGAGUUCGUUGAGAAUGGCGGCUGCUCUCUCUAUUUCUAUGUGUGUAUCCUUUUCUAAUCUUUCGGGAGAAGAUUCCUAAAAUCUGAAUG